ACGUUGAAACACCGGUUCUUGUACAAUCACCGAAGUUAAGCAACGUCGAGCCUGAUCAGUAAUUAGAUGGGUCAGUGCUUGGGAAUAUGCCGAGUU